CCUACGGGCGGCAGCAGUGAGGAAUAUUGGUCAAUGGGCGGAAGCCUGAACCAGCCAAGUCGCGUGAGGGAUUAAGGCCCUGCGGGUCGUAAACCUCUUUUGCCGGGGAGCAGUGGUCCGGACGCGUCCGGACCGGGAGAGUACCCGGAGAAAAGCAUCGGCUAACUCCGUGCCAGCAGCCGCGGUAAUACGGAGGAUGCGAGCGUUAUCCGGAUUUAUUGGGUUUAAAGGGUGCGCAGGCGGCCUGUUAAGUCAGCGGUAAAAGCCCGGGGCUCAACCCCGGCGAGCCGUUGAAACUGGCGGGCUGGAGUUGGAGAGAAGUACGCGGAAUGCGCGGUGUAGCGGUGAAAUGCUUAGAUAUCGCGCAGAACCCCGAUUGCGAAGGCAGCAUACCGGCGCUCAACUGACGCUCAUGCACGAAAGUGUGGGUAUCGAACAGGAUUAGAUACCCUUGUAGUC
rnacentral:rRNA from 1 species